AUUGAACGCUGGCGGCAGGCCUAACACAUGCAAGUCGAGCGGAGCGGCGGACGGGUGAGUAAUGCCUAGGAAGCUGCCUGGUAGUGGGGGUUAACGUCCGGAAACGGGCGAUAAUACCGCAUACUUUCAGUUGAGCCUAGGGCGGAGUAGCUAGAUGGUGCGGUAAAGGCCUACAAAGGCGACGAUCCGUAACUGGUCUGAGAGGAUGAUCAGUCACACUGGAACUGAGAAACGGUCCAGACUCCUACGGGAGGCAGCAGUGGGGAAUAGUGGACAAUGGGCGAAAGCCUGAUGCAGCCAUGCCGCGUGUGUGAAGAAGGUCUUAGGAUUGUAAAGCACUUUAAGUUGGGAGGCGUUACCAACAGAAUAAGCACCGGCUAACUUCGUGCCAGCAGCCGCGGUAAUAC
rnacentral:rRNA from 1 species